UGUGCAAAUGACCCCAGAGCAGUUUUUCCAGUUUAAAGACUCCAGCAUAUUGGAGGGGGUGCCUUCCAGAAGUCUGGUGACCAAAAGAGGUAGGGUGAGUACCUGGAAAGGACUGGUGUCCUAUAGAGCAGGAGUGGUUCCCCGAGGAGACUGGAGCCUGGCCAGCAAAUCAAUUCUCAAUAGUAACUUGGUGGAUUUACCUAGAUUACUUGGAAAUGGAUUAUUUCAUAAACAGAUUAUUUCAUGAACAGACACUCCCCAGAUACUCCCAGAAAUGCUUUAGGGACUCUUUAGCAGGGAUUGACAAUCUGCCAGCCUGAGUAGGUGGGGGCAGAAGUCAGUGGAGUGUAUUCAUGCUUUUUUUUUUUUUUCUUAAUUUUUAUUUAUUUAUUCAUGAUAGUCACACACAGAGAGAGAGAGAGAGAGGCAGAGACACAGGCAGAGGGAGAAGCAGGCUCCAUGCAGGGAGCCCGACGUGGGAUUCGAUCCUGGGUCUCUAGGAUCGCGCCCUGGGCCAAAGGCAGGCGCUAAACUGCUGCACCACUCAGGGAUCCCUGUAUUCAUGCUUUUAAUGUAACCUUUUAGCCACAGGUUGGGGAAAUUUGGGUUUUACUGUGUUUGGACUAUUUCACUUGUAUGUGUCAUCCUAGUAGAGCUCUGGUGCUUUACUAUAUGAGUUUUUCAUUGUUGCUAUACUAAGUCACUACAGAUUUAGUGGCUUAAACAGUUACAUAGGUUACAAGUCCAAUAUGGGUUUUAUUGAGUGAAGAUUGAGGGGUCAAUAGUGCUGUAUUCUUUCUGGAGACUGUCAGGGAGAGUCCCUUUCCUUAUCUUUUCCAUCGUCAUGAGGCCAACACAUUCCUUGAUUUGUAGCUCCUUCUUUCAUCUUCUGUGCCAGCAAUGUCAUCUCUCUCUCUGACCUCAGGGAAAAGUUCUCUGCUGUGAUUAGGUUGGGCCUACCUGGAUAAUAGAAUAAUCUCCCCAUCUCUAGAUUCCUAAACUUAAUCACAUCUACAAAAUGACUUCUGCCAUGUGAGGUAACUCAGUCACCAGUUCCAAGGAUUAGUAUGUGGACAUCUUUCUUGGGUGGGGGGGAAGGGGCAUUUUUCUACCCACCAUAUUUUUUUUUUUUAAGAUUUAUCUAUUUAUUCAUGAGAAACACACACAGAGAGAGAGAGAGAGAGAGGCAGGCGCAGACACAGGCAGUGGGAGAAGCAGGCUCCAUGCAGGGAGCCGAUGCGGGACUCGAUCCCCAGUCUCCAGGAUCACGCCCUGGGCUGCAGGCGUUGCUAAACCACUGCGCCACCGGGGCUGCCCCUCUACCCACCAUAUUUAUGAUUUACUAAAUAUAUCCUAUUCUAAUUUCAUUUUUGUAACAUCCUUGAAUGGCAGUAUUAUUCUUGUAAGGUAGAUAACUUUUCUGAAGCACUUGUUAAGAAUAUAGUUCCUAUCAGUUGUUACCAUCUUAACCCAGGGUUCAGUCUUAGCAUUACUCGCUAAUAAGGACAACCAGAUAUAAAAUGUCUCUUGGGUGUUACAAAGUGAAGGAUAUGGCAUUAUCUUUUUUUUAUUAUUAUUUUUUUAAUUUAUUUAUUUAUGAUAGUCACAGAGAGAGAGAGAAAGAGAGGCAGAGACACAGGCAGAGGGAGAAGCAGGCUCCAUGCACCGGGAGCCCGAUGUGGGAUUCGAUCCUGGGUCUCCAGGAUCGCGCCCUGGGCCAAAGGCAGGCGCCAAACCGCUGCGCCACUCAGGGAUCCCCCGGAUAUGGCAUUAUCUAUAAAAAAUUUUUAAACAACUUAAGAUAUUAACAUACCAUAGAAUUUGCCCUUCUAAAGUCCAAAGUUCAAUGAUUUUUGUAUAUUUAUAUAGCUAUGUGACCAUCACCACAAUCUAAUUUUGAAGCAUUUGUGUCAUUGCCAAAAGAAAUCUAAUACCCAUUAACAUCACUGCCAAUUUCCCCCCUCCUCAGCCCCUGGAAGCUAUUAAUCAAUUUUAUGGUUUUUGGGACAUCUGGAAGGCUCAGUGGUUGAGUGUCUGCCUUUGGUUCAGGGUGUGACCCUGGGAUCCGGGAUGGAGUCCCACAUCGGGCUUCCUGCAUGGAGCCUACUUCUCCCUCUGCCUAUGUUUCUGCCUCUCUCUCUCUCUGUGUCUCUCAUAAAUAAAUAAAUAAAUAAAAUAUUUAAAAAAAUUUUUAUGGUUUUUUAAAAAAGAUUUUAUUUAUUUAUUUGAGAGAGAGAGAGAGAAGGAAGGGGCAGAGGGAGAGAAUCUCAAGUAGACUCUGCUGAGCACAGAGCCCAACACGGUGCUCUAUUUCACUACCCCAAGAUCAUGACCUGAGCCUAAAUCAAGGGUUGGAUGCUCAAUGGAUGGAGCCACCCAGGCCACCCCUUUUUUUGUUUGCUUGUUUUUCAAGCCCCAACACAGGUUGAACUCCUAAUGCUGAGAUCAAGACUUGAGCUGCAAUCAAGAGUUGGAUGCUUAACCAAUUGAGCUACCCAAGUGUCCCUCAAUAUUAUGUUUUUCUAGAUUUACCUAUUCUAGACAUCUCAUGGAAAUGGAGUCAUACAUAUGUGGUCACUUACUUAGUUUUAACUUAGCAUAAUGUUUUUAAGGCUCAUCUAUGUUAUAAUAUGAAUUAGGACUUCAUUCCUUUUUUUGGCCAAACAAUAUUCCAUUGUGUGAAUAGACUACAUUUUAUUUAUCCAUUCAUCAGUUGCUGAACAUUUGAGUUGUUUUACUUUUUGGCUAUUAUGAACUUAUAAAGUAUUCUUGCAACAAUGUUCAAUGCAGAGCCUGGUGGACAGAAUAAUGGUCUCCCACCAAUGUCUAUAUCCUAAUCCCUGCCACCUGUAAUAUGUUACCUUACAUGGCAAAAGGGACCUUGUACGUGUGAGUAAGGUUAAGGACCUAGAGAUGGGCCCCAUGUAAUCACAUAGUCCUUAAAAGAAAGGAGGAUUUUCCCUCUGAGGUCAGAGAUUCAAGACACCCCUGGGUGGCUCAGUUGCUUGAGCAUCUGCCUUUGGCUCAGGUCAUGAUCCCAGAGUCCCAGCAUCGAGCUCUGCACUGGGCUGUCUGCUCAAUGGAGAGCCUGCUUCUCCCUUUUCCUCUGCUCCUCACCCUGCUUGUGCUGUCUCUCUCAAAUAAUCUUUUUUCUUUUAAAGAGAUGUGAGGACAGAAGAAAGUUCAGACAUGUGUGAUAUUGCUGUCAUUUGGGAUGGAGCAAGGAGGCCAUGAGCAAGGGAUGUGGGCAGUCUCUAGAAGGUGGGAAAGGCACAGGAGCAGAUUUUCCCCUGCAGCCUCCAGAACCUUCCCAACACCUCAAUUUUAGUCCGUUGAUUUUUGCUCUUAGACAAAGGGAACUGCCUUGUUUUUGGUAAUGCCCCCCUGCAUCCAGUGAGUAAUCAAUGUGGAAAGUCUAAAGGUCCUGCCCCCCAUCUUGAUCUAGGACAACCGUAAAGGGCCAUCUCAGCUCCAAAGUGCUGUAUGGGAUCACCUGAGGCCUCAACUUCCCUUUCUGCCUGAUCCUGCCUCCCUUAGUCCCUUCAAGGCACUGUUCCUGAGACCACUUUCCAGUAAAUCUCCUGCAUGCAAAUCUCUGCCUCUGAGUUUGUUUCCUGGGGAAUCCAACAUGAGACACUUGCACACAACAUCUUAUCCAAGGACGGGCAGCCAGCUGGGAACCAGCAAGAAAAAGAAUUUGGAAAAGGAAAAAGGUUAAGGGAGGACCUACUCUAAAUUCCAAAAUUGGUGAUGAAAUACUGGAGAGAACAUCAGCUGGGCAUUAGAAAACUUGGGUUCAAGUUCUAGCUUUGCCUUAAGGACUCUUGUCAAGACACCUGUAUCCCUGCCUCCGUUUUCUAAGAAGAGGGUGUUGGACUUACUCAUCUUCAAGAUUACCUCUGGCCCUACAGCUCCAGGUCUGUGGCCUGAAAGCCAGAGACAGGUUGGAUCUUCACCUUCAUCUCUCCCUAAUUUCCAGGCUCAGAACCGAGCCCCCUCCAGAAGCUCCCCAGGACUGAGGACAGGCAUGUCCUUCCUGAGUCAAAAUGGACUUCUGGGUUGCACAACUCUUGGCCUUUGGGACACUUAGUUCAAACUGUGAUAAUUUCUUAGAUGCUUGUCUAUCACCGUGCUUUCCAUAUGCACAAUUUUCUUCUUUGUUGAUAGUUAACUUUUUUAUGUUUAAAAAAAUAAAAUGUCAUGUAA
rnacentral:lncRNA from 1 species